GACGAACGCUGGCGGCGCGCCUAACACAUGCAAGUCGAACGAGCGAGAGAGAGCUUGCUUUCUCAAGCGAGUGGCGAACGGGUGAGUAACGCGUGAGGAACCUGCCUCAAAGAGGGGGACAACAGUUGGAAACGACUGCUAAUACCGCAUAAGCCCACAGGUCGGCAUCGACCGGAGGGAAAAGGAGCAAUCCGCUUUGAGAUGGCCUCGCGUCCGAUUAGCUAGUUGGUGAGGUAACGGCCCACCAAGGCAACGAUCGGUAGCCGGACUGAGAGGCUGAACGGCCACAUUGGGACUGAGACACGGCCCAGACUCCUACGGGAGGCAGCAGUGGGGAAUAUUGCACAAUGGGGGAAACCCUGAUGCAGCGACGCCGCGUGGAGGAAGAAGGUCUUCGGAUUGUAAACUCCUGUUGUUGAGGAAGAUAAUGACGGUACUCAACAAGGAAGUGACGGCUAACUACGUG
rnacentral:rRNA from 1 species